rnacentral:rRNA from 1 species
CCUACGGGUGGCUGCAGUGGGGAAUAUUGCACAAUGGGCGCAAGCCUGAUGCAGCCAUGCCGCGUGUGUGAAGAAGGCCUUCGGGUUGUAAAGCACUUUCAGCGGGGAGGAAGGCGGUGAGGUUAAUAACCUCAUCGAUUGACGUUACCCGCAGAAGAAGCACCGGCUAACUCCGUGCCAGCAGCCGCGGUAAUACGGAGGGUGCAAGCGUUAAUCGGAAUUACUGGGCGUAAAGCGCACGCAGGCGGUCUGUCAAGUCGGAUGUGAAAUCCCCGGGCUCAACCUGGGAACUGCGUUCGAAACUGGCAGGCUAGAGUCUUGGAGAGGGGGGUAGAAUUCCAGGUGUAGCGGUGAAAUGCGUAGAGAUCUGGAGGAAUACCGGUGGCGAAGGCGGCCCCCUGGACAAAGACUGACGCUCAGGUGCGAAAGCGUGGGGAGCAAACAGGAUUAGAUACCCUAGUAGUC